rnacentral:rRNA from 5 species
UCUAAACGACUCUCGGCAACGGAUAUCUCGGCUCUCGCAUCGAUGAAGAACGUAGCGAAAUGCGAUACUUGGUGUGAAUUGCAGAAUCCCGUGAACCAUCGAGUCUUUGAACGCAAGUUGCGCCCGACGCCUUCGGGCUGAGGGCACGCCUGCCUGGGCGUCA